rnacentral:rRNA from 1 species
AACGAACGCUGGCGGCAGGCCUAACACAUGCAAGUCGAACGCGUCGCAAGACGAGUGGCAGACGGGUGAGUAACGCGUGGGAACGUACCCUUUGGUUCGGAACAACUCCGGGAAACUGGAGCUAAUACCGGAUAAGCCCUUCGGGGAAGGAUUAUCGCCAGAGGAUCGGCCCGCGUUAGAUUAGCUAGUUGGUGAGGUAAUGGCUCACCAAGGCUGCGAUCUAUAGCUGGUCUGAGAGGAUGAUCAGCCACACUGGGACUGAGACACGGCCCAGACUCUUACGGGAGGCAGCAGUGGGGAAUCUUGGACAAUGGGCGAAAGCCUGAUCCAGCCAUGCCGCGUGAAUGAUGAAGGCCCUAGGGUUGUAAAAUUCUUUCGACGGGGAAGAUAAUGACGGUACCCGUAGAAGAAGCUCCGGCUAACUUCGUG